rnacentral:rRNA from 1 species
AUGGCUGCCGCGGCGGUGGACCCGAUGGUGCUUGGGCUGGGAACGAGCGGAGGUGCGAGCGGGAGCGGAGUGGUAGGAGGCGGUGUUGGGAGAGCAGGAGGAGGGGGUGCUGUGAUGGAAGGGGCGCAGCCGGUGGAUCUCGCCAGGCACCCCUCCGGCAUCGUCCCGGUCCUCCAGAACAUUGUGUCAACUGUUAAUCUGGACUGCAGGUUGGAUCUGAAACAAAUUGCCUUACAGGCCCGUAAUGCAGAGUACAACCCAAAGCGUUUUGCAGCGGUUAUCAUGAGGAUAAGGGACCCCAAGACAACAGCUCUUAUAUUUGCUUCAGGAAAGAUGGUAUGCACUGGAGCAAAGAGUGAAGAACACUCGAAGCUUGCUGCCAGGAAGUAUGCACGAAUUGUCCAAAAGCUUGGCUUCCCAGCUACAUUCAAGGACUUCAAGAUCCAGAACAUUGUCGCCUCAUGUGACGUGAAAUUUCCCAUUCGUCUCGAGGGCCUUGCUUAUUCCCAUGGUGCCUUCUCCAGUUAUGAGCCAGAGCUCUUUCCUGGGUUGAUUUACCGUAUGAAACAGCCAAAGAUUGUCCUCCUUGUAUUUGUCUCUGGAAAGAUUGUUCUCACGGGAGCUAAGGUGCGCGAUGAGAUAUAUGCUGCCUUUGAGAACAUCUACCCGGUGCUAACUGAGUACAGGAAAUCUCAGCAAUGA